UUAUUCCUUCACUCAAAAGAAUCCCACAGAGAGAGAGAGAAAGAAUUGGUUAAUGGUGAGAAAAAAAACAAGCAAUUGACUUUUAAAUUUGAACAAGCAAGGUUGACCUAUUUCCAUAGAAAAGUUAAUAGUAUUUUUCAGAGCAUCCAAAGCAUAUAAAGAAAAAUGAGCUCUCUCUCUCUCUCCCUCUCCCUCUCCCUCUCCCUCUCCAUACUUCUGAUUCAUGGCUUUAGCCUUUAUGAUGGGUUGAUAUGAAGGAGAAAGAGUCAAUUCGAUACACAGACUCACUUGGUGUCUUCUU
rnacentral:lncRNA from 1 species